CGGGCAGCAGGCCGGGUCUACGCCCAGGUGAACAGCCUGAGGAGCCGCGAGUACUGGGACUAUGAGGCUCACGUCCCGAGCUGGGGUAAUCAAGAUGAUUACCAACUGGUUCGAAAACUUGGUCGAGGAAAAUAUAGUGAAGUAUUUGAGGCCAUUAACAUCACCAACAAUGAGAGAGUGGUUGUAAAAAUACUCAAGCCAGUGAAGAAAAAGAAGAUAAAACGAGAGGUUAAGAUUCUGGAGAAUCUUCGUGGUGGAACAAAUAUCAUUAAGCUGAUUGACACUGUAAAGGACCCUGUGUCAAAGACACCAGCUUUGGUAUUUGAAUAUAUCAAUAAUACAGAUUUUAAGCAACUCUACCAGAUCCUGACAGACUUUGAUAUCCGGUUUUAUAUGUAUGAACUACUUAAAGCUCUGGAUUACUGCCACAGCAAGGGAAUCAUGCACAGGGAUGUGAAACCUCACAAUGUCAUGAUAGAUCACCAACAGAAAAAGCUACGACUGAUAGAUUGGGGUCUGGCAGAGUUCUAUCAUCCUGCUCAGGAGUACAAUGUUCGUGUAGCCUCAAGGUACUUCAAGGGACCAGAGCUCCUUGUGGACUAUCAGAUGUAUGACUAUAGCUUGGACAUGUGGAGUUUGGGCUGUAUGUUAGCAAGCAUGAUCUUUCGAAAGGAACCCUUCUUCCAUGGACAGGACAACUAUGACCAGCUUGUUCGCAUUGCCAAGGUUCUGGGUACAGAUGAGCUGUAUGGGUAUCUGAAGAAGUAUCACAUAGACCUAGAUCCACACUUCAACGAUAUCCUGGGACAACAUUCACGGAAACGCUGGGAAAACUUUAUCCAUAGUGAGAACAGACACCUUGUCAGCCCCGAAGCCCUAGAUCUUCUGGACAAACUUCUGCGAUACGACCAUCAACAGAGAUUGACUGCCAAAGAGGCUAUGGAGCACCCAUACUUCUACCCUGUGGUGAAGGAGCAGUCCCAGCCUUGAGCAGACAAUGCUGUGCUUCCCAGUGGUCUCACGGCAGCACGAUGAAGACUGGAAAGCGACGGGUAAUGCGGCAUUGAUGCUUGCCAAUAAAACCAACCAACCAGACACAAAUCUUGAAGGAAAACUACAGUGUGAUAAAAA